rnacentral:rRNA from 1 species
GUAGGGAAUAUUGGACAAUGGGGGCAACCCUGAUCCAGCGACGCCGCGUGAGGGAUGACGGCCUUCGGGUUGUAAACCUCUUUCAGCAGGGACGAAGCGAAAGUGACGGUACCUGCAGAAGAAGGACCGGCCAACUACGUGCCAGCAGCCGCGGUAAUACGUAGGGUCCGAGCGUUGUCCGGAAUUAUUGGGCGUAAAGGGCUCGUAGGCGGUCUGUCGCGUCGGGAGUGAAAACUCAGGGCUCAACCCUGAGCGUGCUUCCGAUACGGGCAGACUAGAGGUAUGAAGGGGAGAACGGAAUUCCUGGUGUAGCGGUGGAAUGCGCAGAUAUCAGGAGGAACACCGGUGGCGAAGGCGGUUCUCUGGGCAUUACCUGACGCUGAGGAGCGAAAGCAUGGGGAGCGAACAGGAUUAGAUACCCGGGUAGUCC